rnacentral:rRNA from 1 species
UACGUAGGGCGCAAGCGUUGUCCGGAAUUAUUGGGCGUAAAGAGCUCGUAGGCGGCUUGUCGCGUCGAUUGUGAAAGCCCGGGGCUUAACCUCGGGUCUGCAGUCGAUACGGGCUGGCUAGAGUGUGGUAGGGGAGAUCGGAAUUCCUGGUGUAGCGGUGAAAUGCGCAGAUAUCAGGAGGAACACCGGUGGCGAAAGCGGCGCGCUGGACCUCUUCUGACGCUGAGGCGCGAAAGCCAGGGGAGCAAACGGG